CAAAAACAUGUCUUUUUGUUUAUGAUUUAAGGUCGGGCCUGCCCAAUGAUUUUUAAAUGGCCGCAGUAUUUUGACUGUGCAAAGGUAGCAUAAUCAUUAGUUUCUUAAUUGGGAGCUGGUAUGAAUGGUUUGAUGAGAGACUAACUGUCUCUGUUUGGUUUUUUAUGGAAUUUUAUUUUUGAGUAAGAAAGCUUAAAUUUGAUAUAAAGACGAGAAGACCCUAUAGAGUUUAAUAGUUGGUUGGUUAGGUUUUUGAAGGGUUUUUUGUUUUCUGGUUGAUUAUCUAUUUUGUUGGGGUGAUGUGAAAGUUAGGGAAACCUUUCAUUAUUUAAACAUUGAUUAGUGGUUGCUUGAUCCUUAGUUUUGGAUUAUAAGAUUAAAUUACCUUAGGGAUAACAGCGUGAUUUUUCCUGAAAGUUCUUAUUGACGGGGAAGUUUGCGACCUCGAUGUUGGAUUAAAAUUUACUUUUGGUGUAGCAGCUGAAAAGUUAGGUCUGUUCGACCUUUAAAAUUUUACAUGAUCU
rnacentral:rRNA from 1 species